rnacentral:RNase_P_RNA from 1 species
AAGAGUAAGCGUGCGGUUGCGAAAUUUGUCUCAAAAUUAACGAAAGGCUAUGGCGAGUGCAAGUUUUGAGGAAAGUCCGGGCUUCCAUGAAGAUCAGGCUGCUGGAUAACGCCCAGUGCGAGCGAUCGUGAGGAUAGUGCCACAGAAAAAUACCGCCUAUAGAGAUAUAGCGCGAAGCGCUAUAUCUCUAUAGGUAAGGGUGCAAAGGUGCGUUAAGAGCGCACCAGCAGAGUCGUGAGGCUCUGGCUCGGUAAACCCCAGCUGGAAGCAAGGCGAGAGGAUACAAGUGUUGCGAUCUUCAAUUGAUCUUGUGUCCGUUGCUUAAUGGGGUUGCAUAGUGAAAGCUAGGCGAUCGCAGAUAAGUGUGUGCCGCAUGAGGUAUUUGGUAACAAAUAUCCCAGAUAGAUAACCGCUAGGGUAGUUGCUAAAACUCCUAAAACAGAACCCGGCUUAUGUCUUACUCUUCCUA